GGGGAAUUUUCCGCAAUGGGGGCAACCCUGACGGAGCAAUACCGCGUGCGGGAGGACGGCCUGUGGGUUGUAAACCGCUUUUCUCAGGGAAGAAGACCUGACGGUACUUGAGGAAUCAGCCUCGGCUAACUCCGUGCCAGCAGCCGCGGUAAUACGGAGGAUGCAAGCGUUAUCCGGAAUUAUUGGGCGUAAAGCGUCCGCAGGCGGUUCAUCAAGUCUGCUGUUAAAGGCCGAGGCUCAACCUCGGUUAAGCAGUGGAAACUGGUGAACUAGAGUGCGAUAGGGGUAGAGGGAAUUCCCAGUGUAGCGGUGAAAUGCGUAGAUAUUGGGAAGAACACCGGUGGCGAAAGCGCUCUGCUGGGCCGAACCUGACGCUGAGGGACGAAAGCUAGGGGAGCGAAUGGGAUUAGAUACCCCAGUAGUC
rnacentral:rRNA from 1 species